UACCAGACUCCUACGGGAGGCAGCAGUGGGGAAUAUUGCGCAAUGGGCGAAAGCCUGACGCAGCGACGCCGCGUGAGGGAUGAAGGUCUUCGGAUCGUAAACCUCUGUCAGCAGGGAAGAACGGUCACUGUGCUAAUCAGCAGUGAAUUGACGGUACCUGCAAAGGAAGCACCGGCUAACUCCGUGCCAGCAGCCGCGGUAAUACGGAGGGUGCGAGCGUUAUCCGGAUUUAUUGGGUUUAAAGGGUGCGUAGGCGGCGCUUCAGGUCAGCGGUGAAAUACCGGGGCUCAACCCCGGGGCUGCCGUUGAAACCGGAGCGCUAGAAUUCCGAUGCCGUCGGAGGAAUGUGUGGUGUAGCGGUGAAAUGCAUAGAUAUCACACAGAACACCGAUUGCGAAGGCAUCUGACGAAUCGGAGAUUGACGCUGAUGCACGAAAGCGUGGGUAUCGAACAGGAUUAGAUACCCUUGUA
rnacentral:rRNA from 1 species